AGUUUAUUAUUGCUGUUUGAUUUAAUUGUGGUGGGGACAAGAGUCCACGGUUGGUUUAUACGAUUUAUAAUCGUGUGUCACUUACGUGGGUGUCUCUCCCUCUCUUCCUCCAAAUUCCUUUCUCCGAUUUCCCUCUUUUUACAAUAAAAGAAAUAUAGAAUCCAGAGGUGAGAAGUGACACACCCCAUCCAACCCGUGUUCCUGUCCCUCACAAUACGGUUUAUAAAUUUAUUCCUAAGGCUAUUAAAUAGGAUUCCAUUAAAUAGGUCCUACUAAUGAGAUCCUUGUGGCUGAUGUUUUGAUAUUAGCAUUUUAAUAUCUGGCUCCAAUUUUAUGAGAGUCAGAAAAGAUCAUCUCUGUUUACUAUAUCAAGUCGAUUACAAUUUUUUUGCAUUAACUAAAAAAGGUUCCAGAAAAAAACGAGUAUCUUCUAAUUGCAAAUUUCUGAAUUCUUCUAUGAUAUUAAUUUAUUUUAUUACUACUAUUAUUUUUUUAUUUUUUUUAAUAAAUUAUAUUAUUUAUAAUAUUUUUAUUGUGAAUCCCUUAGAUUAUAUUAUGGACCUUCAAAAUGCAAUUUUUUUCUUGUGAAUUCCCUCAAAGCUUCUUUGGGCCCUGAUUGGAAAUGCUAGCUUACUUUGAACUCUCCAAUUUUAAUAAUCGAUAGCAUUCAUUUAUUAUACAAGUUCUAACUUUUGCUACUUUGUCUUCAAUUAUAUAUCAGUCUUUGUUUGAUUUGUAUCAAUAAAUAUUUGGCAGUUGACAUUGACAGAAUAUAUCCUAUACUCUACACACUGUUUUGAUUUCUUGUGAAUAUUUUAUAUUAGAGACUAAAAAUUCUUGCAGUAAGACAACAUAUUAUAGUGGAAUCUCUCUAUAACAAUAUUACAUGGUCCAAGAAGAUUUUAAUUAAAAAUAAUCAAAAUUAUGUGUGUGUGUCAGCGUAUCAAAAGUGCCUACAUGAACUAAACACAUCUUUUGACAUUCUUUGUUCUAUUAUAACUGAAAUGAAUUAAACUUUAGUGCUAAAAUAUUAUAAAUAUAUAUCAAUACAGGGGGUUAUUAUUGUAAGGAAUAGUAGUGUAUUGAGUGCCUUUUACAUUAAAGUAGAAUUAAAUCUGGUGAGACUUUUAGAAAAGAUUGUUGUGAAGGAUUUAUCAUUAUAUUGAAUAUCAUUUUUGUGAGGUUUUCUGUGUGAUCAUUUCCUAAACAAAUAAUAUAUUUUUAAAUCAAUACCUUGAAUAAUACUUAUAUUUGAAUAAAAUACAUUUUUGUUUUUGUGAAAACAAACUAUUGCUGCUCAAUUAAGUGCUAGUUUAUAAAAUA
rnacentral:lncRNA from 1 species